UACAGAGGGUGCGAGCGUUGUCCGGAAUCACUGGGCGUAAAGGGCGCGUAGGUGGCCUGGUAAGUCGGGGGUGAAACGCUGCGGCUCAACCGCAGCACUGCCUUCGAGACUGUCAGGCUUGAGCACGGUAGAGGCUGGUGGAAUUCCCGGUGUAGCGGUGGAAUGCGUAGAGAUCGGGAAGAACAUCGGUGGCGAAGGCGGCAUCCUGGACCAAUACUGACACUGAAAAGCGAAAGCCAGGGGAGCAAACGGG
rnacentral:rRNA from 1 species